GAUGAACGCUAGCGGCAGGCCUAAUACAUGCAAGUCGAACGGUGUCUUCGGACAUAGUGGCGCACGGGUGCGUAACACGUAUGCAACCUACCUUACAUUGGGGGAUAGCCUUUCGAAAGGGAGAUUAAUACCGCAUAAGACAGUAGCUGGGCAUCCAGCAGCUGUUAAAGAUUUAUCGAUGUAAGCUGGGCAUGCGUCCAAUUAGCUAGUUGGUGAGGUAACGGCUCACCAAGGCAAUGAUUGGUAGGGGAACUGAGAGGUCAAUCCCCCACACUGGCACUGAGAUACGGGCCAGACACCUACGGGAGGCAGCAGUAGGGAAUCUUGGGCAAAUGACGCAAGUCUGACCCAGCCAUGCCGCGUGCAGGAUGAAGGCGUUAUGCGUUGUAAACUGCUUUUAUACAGGAAGAAACGACUCUUGCGAGAGGCAUUGACGGUACGGUAUGAAUAAGCACCGGCUAACUCCGUGCCAGCCGCCGCCGUAA
rnacentral:rRNA from 1 species